rnacentral:lncRNA from 1 species
UCAGCCCCAGGCCGGAGGACGAUGGAGAAGCUCAUGGUGGAUGCCCCGGCCGGCCAGGGUGCUCAAAAGCCUGCACGGCCUCCACUUGCAACAAAAGCGCCAAAGCGCAGGCCCGGCAGCCAGAAUAUAUUUCUUCCUCCUUUAUUUGCAUCUUAUACUCCAUCGAUCGAUCGAUCGAUCGAUCGGAUCCCAUGGCAGUUUAACAGUCUUGCAGCAUCUUGCAGUUCAGGACUUCAGGUAUCUUCGCGGUUUUGCUGUUUGACCUUUGCUCCUGCAGAAAGAUGUCGUGAUCUUGUGACUUCAGAUCACCAGUUUUCAUCACAGUAAAAUUUACAAUGUCAGAGCUGUGUGAAAUAAACCCUGUCAUCAGCAGGGAAUCCUGGACGGCGGUUGGAUAUGAUCCUUGAUCUUAUUGCCGGCCGGGGACCGGCGAUCAGGGAAGGAAAUCUGGGCGGAUCCGGCGGUGACAUGGGCGUGUACCGGAAGGAGAGCGGGCGCAGGAAACGGCCACGGCAGCGGCGUGAGGCGGGUGCCAGCUCUGUGGGCAAGCGUGACGGUGCGAGAGGUGCCCGUGUCCACGCCCUGUCGAUGCGCCGGAGGACAAGGUGGCUUUCUCCCCCCAACGGACUGUCGCCGGCGUCGUACCGGCGGCUGCCGUGCACGCCUCGUGCCCAUCGAUUGGAAUUUGUGCUGACAAUCAGAUAUUUUGCAGUGAAACCAGAGCUGAUGUGAUCACGAUGUGAACAUUUUGUACCAAAUCCGACCGCCGUCUACAUUGAAUUGUACGAAUUUCCUGUCCUUUUCGAAGGUUCUUCGGAAUAAAUUUAAACAACUUUAAAUUCGGGAACAACAACUUUUAACACUCAUGUCCGAGGCCGGUAAACUGAAAUUAGAGUGAGAAUUGAGCUUCUGAUUUGAAUUCUGACACUGAAUAUAAGCC